rnacentral:rRNA from 1 species
UACGGGGGGGGCAAGCGUUGUUCGGAAUUACUGGGCGUAAAGGGCUCGUAGGCGGCCAACUAAGUCAUACGUGAAAUCCCUCGGCUUAACCGGGGAACUGCGUCUGAUACUGGAUGGCUUGAGUUCGGGAGAGGGAUGCGGAAUUCCAGGUGUAGCGGUGAAAUGCGUAGAUAUCGGGAAGAACACCCGUGGCGAAGGCGGCUCUCUGGGACGGUACUGACGCUGGGGCGCGAAAGCGUGGGGAGCAAACAGG